UGUGUGUACAUACUCAUGCAUAUGCACUGGUGUAUGUCUGUGUGCCUGUGUGUAUGGUGUGGGCGUGUGUGUGUGUGUGUGUGUGUGUGUUCCUUUUUAUUCCAGAGUGCUGGAGUGCUGUCCUAAAUGCUCUUGAGUGGCAGCCACGUGGCUCUAAACAUCAAGUUUUGGCUGUCGUGGGAGACCUUAGCUCCUGUUUAUUAGCUGAGGUACAGACCUGCAGAGUGGAGGCAGCAAGACAGCCAGCCACUGGAAGGCAACCUAUUACCACAGAGAGUGCAGAACCAGUGACUUUCUACCCCAGGACACUCUCUUGGUGGGAGAUUGGGGUAGAGAAGUCAGCCCAUCCCUGGACCCUGACACCGCAAGCCCAAAACUAGCUCUGUCUGAGGACGGGAAGAAUGUGAAAUGGCUAUUCUUUGACCAGGAGCUGCCUGACAUCCUCUCAGAUUCAACCAGGACCCCUGUGAGCCGGCCUGGGAGCAGUUCUCUGCUGGAAGUAUUACUGGGUGGGGCACAGGAAGUCCUGGAACUUGGGCAUGUGUCUGGACAUCUUGGAUCCAAAGAGAAGGAUUCCCAAGGCCUCCAAGCAUCGAUUCUGGGCCCUGGAGCUGUAAAAGCAGACAUUCUGGGCACUCACCUUCCUGAGGCUUCGCCUGUACCCUUCUGAACCCCUGCAUCAGGUGGGCACUCUUCUGGACUGUGAUGCUGGCAGAGUCUCUUUCUACAAUGUGGGCAGUGGAUCCCUAAUCCACACAUUCUCUGGACUCUCCUUCUCAGUGCCUCUGAGGCAAUUUUUCUGCCUUUGGACUCAUGAUGCCAACCCCCUGACCAUUUGUACAGAAUGCCAGGACUUAGAGGCAUUGGGCUCUCCUCAGAGCCAGGGACAGGAGUAGGUGGGGGGCCUCCUCCAUCAAGAUCCAUGAUCUCUCUGCUCUGGCCUGUCAUAGAUUUGGGGAAACCAUAUCCAUUCUACAUCCCAGCUAUACCCAUACAAGGGUGCACCUUUCUGAAUUAUCCUGUCUUAUAUUCCUUUUCCUUCCCUGUUCUAUACUAAGAAUAUAUUAUGGGCUGAACCAUGUCCCCUCAAAUUCACAUGCCAAAGCCCCAAUCCCCAGGACCUCAGAAUGGAGCUGUAUUUGGAAAUGGGGUUUUUACAGAGGUUUUUGAGGCAUAAGGAGGUCUGUAGGAUGUGCCUUGAUCCCAUAUGAUGGGAGUUCUUAUCAGAAGAGAGGACUGAGCACAGAGACACACAGGCUGAUGACUGCCUGAGGACAUGGGGAGGACACAGCAUGUACAUGCCAGGGAGAGGGGCCUUGGGGGGAACCAGCCCCACCCAGGCUAGGAUCUGGGACUUUCAGAUCCAAGGAUUGAGACACAAUCAAUAUUUGUUGUUUAAACUGCUUGUCCAGUGGUAUUUGUUACACAGCCCAGGCUGACUGGGAUACCAGAUUAUUAUACAGUGUGGUGCUUUUCUGAAAUGUACUUGGGGGCAUUUGGAAAGCAUUGAACCCAGUGUCAGACGUGAAGAAGUUGCUCAGUAGGGGCAGCCUGGGUGGCUCAGCGGUUUGGUGCCUGCCUUCAGCCCAGGGCAUGAUCCUGGGGUCCCGGGAUUGAGUCCCACGUCCGGCUCCUUGCGUGGAGCCUGCUUCUCCCUCCUCCUGUGUCUCUGCCUCUCUCUCUCUCUAUGUCUAUCAUAAAUAAAUAAACAAAUAAAUAAAUAAAUAAAUCUUUA
rnacentral:lncRNA from 12 species